rnacentral:lncRNA from 1 species
CAAGAUGAGCAAUAAAGAGGAAAGAGAGGAAGGGGACAGCCUUGCCAUUUAGGGUCCCGUGAAAAGCUCAGAGAGCCAAGCAACUUGAUUUUACUUGCCUCUAUUUACAAUCAUAAAAGUAUUAUUAUUAAUGAUGCUGUUUUACAUUUUAUAGCUCCUUUUCAGCUUGAGCGAUCCCAAAGGGUUUUGCAAACUACAUGUGCGUGGUUUCACUGUCUUCCUGAGACCAUUGCUCUCUCUCCCCUCUCAAGAAGCCUCUUACUAACAACAGCAGAAGCAGUGAUGGUAGCAAUAAUCAACAGAAAAAAGUCUUUCAGCAUCUCAAUAUGCCCAUGUGUGCUGGCUACCUUUCAGGUGAGAGUCUUUCUGAGAUCAUAUUAGAGUCUACCCUCGAACCUACAUCUGCCUUUGAGGAGCCCUACCCCAAAUAAGGUGGCCCUGCCAAUCUCCAUCUGGGAAGGAGAUGUGAGGAAUUGACAAAGGAAAGCGCAGG